GACGAACGCUGGCGGCGUGCCUAAUACAUGCAAGUCGAGCGAGCUUGCCUAGAUGAUUUUAGUGCUUGCACCAAAUGAAACUAGAUACAAGCGAGCGGCGGACGGGUGAGUAACACGUGGGGUAACCUGCCCAAGAGACUGGGAUAACACCUGGAAACAGAUGCUAAUACCGGAUAACAACACUAGACGCAUGUCUAGAGUUUGAAAGAUGGUUCUGCUAUCACUCUUGGAUGGACCUGCGGUGCAUUAGCUAGUUGGUAAGUACGGCCUACCAGUGAUGAUACGUAGCCGAGUUGAGAGACUGAUCGGCCACAAUGGGACUGAGACGCGGCCCAUACUCCUACGGGAGCAGCAGUAGGGAUCUUCACAAUGGGCGCAAGCCUGAUGGAGCAACGCCGCGUGCGUG
rnacentral:rRNA from 1 species